rnacentral:rRNA from 1 species
UACGUAGGGUCCGAGCGUUGUCCGGAAUUAUUGGGCGUAAAGGGCUCGUAGGCGGUUUGUUGCGUCGGGAGUGAAAACUUACAGCUUAACUGUGAGCGUGCUUCCGAUACGGGCAGACUUGAGGUAUUCAGGGGAGAACGGAAUUCCUGGUGUAGCGGUGAAAUGCGCAGAUAUCAGGAGGAACACCGGUGGCGAAGGCGGUUCUCUGGGAAUGUCCUGACGCUGAGGAGCGAAAGUGUGGGGAGCGAACAGG